CGAAAGGAUGGUGCCAUUCACUAGGCUUUUUAAAAAUGUGGUUCAGAGAUUUCUAGAUCCUAAAUCUCUUUUUAUUCUUACGUCGCACGGGUUCAUACCUUCCAAACACACACCUCUACAAUCCCUUCUCCCUCAUUCUAUGGGAGGGAAGGAAUGCUCACCUGCUACCCCUGAGGCCUCCUUCCUCCCCCCACAGGCUAUACUAUCUGCGGAAUGGGGAACGCAUCUCCGUGUCUGCAGCCUCCAAGCUACUUUCCAACAUGAUGCUGCAGUACCGGGGUAUGGGCCUCUCCAUGGGCAGCAUGAUCUGCGGCUGGGACAAGAAGGGACCGGGACUUUAUUACGUAGAUGACAAUGGGACUCGGCUCUCGGGACAGAUGUUCUCCACAGGCAGCGGGAACACCUAUGCCUACGGGGUGAUGGACAGUGGGUACCGGCAGGAUCUCAGUCCUGAGGAGGCCUACGACCUUGCCCGAAGAGCUAUUGUUUAUGCUACCCACAGAGACAGCUAUUCUGGAGGAGUUGUCAACAUGUACCACAUGAAGAAAGACGGUUGGGUGAAAGUGGAGAGCACUGACGUCAGUGACCUGCUGCACAAGUACCGAGAGGCCACUCUGUGAUCACUGCUGGGCAGACAUCCUCCCGGCCCUGAGGAGCUGGCAGACUCAGGGACCUGGGGCUACUUCAGUCUUAGGAGAAAGACGGGCCCAACCUGGGCUGGAGACAAAGCUCUGAGGCUAUGGAGACAUCUUUGUUUACCCUCUCACUUAGCCAGCCCUCACGGAUACCUUCUAAGUACAAUAAAAGAAAAACAGUUCUACAUGUCUCUGUGUUGUGGCUGAAUGGGGUCAGGCGGUGGGGUCCUUUGGAGGGAGGGCUAGG
rnacentral:lncRNA from 14 species